CGUAGUGGCGCACGGGUGCGUAACGCGUGGGAAUCUGCCCUUAGGUACGGAAUAACUCAGGGAAACUUGAGCUAAUACCGCAUAAUGACUCCGGUCCAAAGAUUUAUCGCCUAAGGAUGAGCCCGCGUAGGAUUAGCUAGUUGGUGAGGUAAAAGCUCACCAAGGCGACGAUCCUUAGCUGGUCUGAGAGGAUGGUCAGCCACACUGGGACUGAGACACGGCCCAG
rnacentral:rRNA from 1 species